AAAUAAUUCCUUUGCACUAUUUUUUUUUUCCAAAAGCUAAGCUUAAAGCGUCAACCAAUGUCUGAUUAUUGAAUAAUUUUUUUGAUUAAUUAGCUAAGAACAAGAUUAAGUGGGGGCAUCCUUCAUUAGCUCUUCCCCACAUCAACUUAUUUAAAUCCCCAAAAUCUAGUGUCUGUUCCAGCUCUUUCUCCAGAUUUUUUUUCUCUCUCCAUUUUUUUUUUACCUAUAUCACUCUUCUUCGGCUUCCCUAGCUUCUUGAGGUAUAAUUUUCUUUGUAAACGGAUCCGAUUUUUUUUUUCUAAUUUUCUCAUUUUUAUUUGGUUAUUUUCUUGAUUCAGUUAAAAAAUUCGUAAUCAGAUCGUUAGGUUAUAUAUUUUGAUUUGACGUUCAUUUUAUGUUGUAUUGUUUUGCGUUUGCAUUUUCUGCUUUGAACGUGAAUGGUGAUUCGUUUUCCGUUAAGUAAUUUGUUUGUUUGACGGUUUUGAGAACUGUUAAUUCGUUUUGAUUCGGAAUUUGUCACUGAUGGCGGUGAAAAGCUUUGUUUUCGAGGUUUUUUGCGUGAAAUCCGUUUGGUUACAGAGAAAGUUAUUGUAAAAAAAAGCCAUCCGAGAAACAUUUUUCUUGUUCAAAACAUUUCUAUAAUAAACCGUUUUGACUUCUUCUUGUCAAGCUUUCUCGGCAACUUAGUUGAGAAAUGGAGUGUUUCACGCCCACUCAAUUGCUAGCAUUUUCUUUCUCUUUAUUACAACAUUUAAAAAAAUUAUUGCUAAAGGAGUUUUGUCAUUUUGGACUUUUUUUCAGGUGACAAUAAGAGGAGAGAAAGUUUAAGAUUCAAAGCAAAUUAGCUUUUGUUUCCAGGUGGUUCUUAUUAAUCUUCUUAACAUUUUCAUGUACGCUAUCUUUUUUAAUUAUUUUAUAUCCUGCCGUUGUCUGAAUAGUGUUUUAGCACUGUUCAUAUUUCUUUUUUUGUUUUGGUUGGGUCACUACAAAGCAUUAUAUGAUUACAUCAGCUUAGUUUCAAUUUAAAAAUUUGUAUUACUGACCCUCAAAAAAAAAUUGCAUUAGUGAAUGAGCUUGAGCCCUUUUAUACAUUGAGAUGCGAAAUAUAUGUCAUAGCAUACACGUUUUCAAACAGUUCUGAUCAUUUUUUGCAAGUUGGCGUUUCAUAUAAUUUCGUUAUGCUUUCACUGCUGUAGAAUCAUCAUUAUUUGGGUUUAUUAGGUAUGCAUAGUGUUAGUCCGUAGCUCUUUCAGCACAACAAUUAUGGAAAAGCACAUAAAAUAUUGUGGUAAUGUCUGUCUUUAUUGUCAUGCGAGAUGUUUCUAUACAUAUAGUUGAUGGUCAUUAAAUACUUGGUUAAAAAUUUGAACAUUUCUUAGAGAGUUUAUGAUGAAUAAAUGGUUUGUAUGCAUGAGUUUCAUGUGGAGAUUUGCUACAUGGCUACAUAUAUCUAGCGUUCAGUUCCUUUUUGCUAGCUAAAGUACAAUUCAAUGAAACUAAUCAUUUUGCUUUUCGUUGAAGUUCUGUUGAAGUAGAAGGUAGGUGAUACGAGUCACAAAAGCCCAAAUUCUUGAAGGCGAGGCCCAAUAAGCAAAUUCCCAGCCCAAUCAAGAAAUCCAUCCAUACUUAGUUGAAAAUCAGGCCAAAUUGUCAAAGUGGCCCAAGUUGUAAAGUUUUAUUUUUAUUUUUAUUUAUUUAUUUAUUUAUUUACUUAGUUUAAAUUUUUAUGUCAAUAUUCAGUCCAAGAGUCUCAGAUAAAAUGACCUUUGACCGAAUUUCCAUAUUAAAAUAAUUAGGAGUUUUUUUUUAUUUUAGUUUUCUAAUUAGAUUAGGACUAGUUAUAAGGCCUAUUUAAAGGCAUGACUGUCCACCUUGUUAAACACUUAUCAUUAUUAUUAAAAUUUCAGAUUUGUUGAGAGCAGAAUUUUCUUUGAGUUUUCUCCAAGAUUUCUCUCUUGAGUUUUCUUUAGAAGUUGUUUUAACAAUCUUGUGAUUGUGGGAGCCAUCUUCAACCUUCUUCUUGCCAUUGAUAUUCUUUGGAGGGGAGAUUAGAGCCGUUUGAAGGGAGUUGUGAGAUCUUUCGAGAUUUCAAGGCUUCUUAGGACUUAUCUUUUAAUUUCUUACUGUCAAUUCUUUCUUUAUUUCUACUUGUGCUGAAUCAUUAUCUAAUCUAUUUUCUGUUCUUAUUGUGUUUUCAGCCUUUUUCUAUCUUAAGGAAUCAGCCCAAAAAUCCCCAAUUUCUAGGGUUUUUCCAUACUCUUUUUUGGGUGAAAUUAGAUUGUCGAAAUUUGGGGAAAACUAUCUUGGUGUUCAAUUGGGCAGAAUCACAAUCUCCUUGAGGGUUUCAAGAACCCUAACACUUAUUUCUAUUCUCAAUUUGAUUCUUUGCUGAUUUGGGGAUUUUAUUUUAGAUCUGAAAAUUCAAAAAUCUAAUCUUUUAAUUUUCUGUUUCGUUUCAGAUCUAAUUGUUUAGGGUUUUCGUAGGAGUUUCUCGUGACUUGGCAACUCGAUCUUGGUCCGCGCGCAACCCCGUAUCAUUUGGUAUCAGAUUUUGGGCGUUUUGGGUGUUCUUGGUUGAUUUCUAAACUGAUCUCUAUUUUUUAAAUUACAAACAGCAGUUUUACCCAGAAAAAUUUUCGAAAAAAAUUCAUUUGAGUGGGUAAACGUUUUCUGAUUGAUCUGAAAUUUUACAUACAUAUUUUUGGCACUGUUAUUGAAUAUACAAAAAUAUUUCCCGCAAAAAAAAUAAGUCGAAAAAGUCAAAAAAUUGAAAAAAGACGAAAUCUAAUAAAAAAUUAAAAAAAUAUUCAGCGGGUUGAAUUUGGUGCCCAAAUUUUCCAGAUCAAAAAUUAAAUAUAUAAGGACACUCUAGAUUUAAUUUCGUGAUUUUUGGAGAUCGGGAACACCUCGAACGAAGUUGUCAAAUUACUCCGCAGUUUUUCGGGUUUUCUGUUUUCAGCAAUUUUUAUUGAUUCUUAGCUGUAGGUUUUCAUUUGUUUACCUUUAUUCUUCCUUUACGUUAUCUAACACCUUCUUGUUUCUUGUGUUAGUAGGAUUUAAACGUAUGCACAACUUCUUCCUCGGUGCAACACGAAUCAAUUGGUGUCUCGUCAGUUUUUGGCAUCCUAGUGCAAAUUAGGAUUCUUUGGUAGUUUGGUUCACACUCUCUAAUUGGUUGAUAUAAACUCUGAUAAAGAACUCACAAGAUUGAAUUCGACCUCAUUGAGAAUUUGAAUUUUCUUUUUGAGUGAUUAAUGGUGAGGUUUGCUAACUUUUAUUUUUGAGUGUUGAGUGUUUAUUUUUUACAGGUUUUGAAGAUGUCUAAAGGUGAUAAUAAUGAUGCACUUAUGAAAGUCCAACAACAGUUAGAUGGACAUACUGCUGCAAUCACACAAAUAAAUGCUACACUUCAAGCAUUGAAUACUACUUUGAAUGAGGUACGAGUGAAUCAAAAACAUCAAUAUCGAGAUCCAAUUAAGGAAGAUAGGGAUAACCAACCCCAAAGGCGCGGCCCUCGACGUGUCACUAGAAUGGAUGAUGAUUUUCAUGAUCGUAGACAAUCAUCUUUGGCAAAACCAAGGAGCGAGCAGCAACGAGAACAUCUCUUUCAUACUCGCUGCCAUGUACAAGGUAAGCUUUGUAGAGUUAUUAUUGAUGGUGAAAGUUGCUCGAACAUAGCCAGCACGACGAUGGUGGAAAAGCUUUGCUUAACCACUACCAAGCAUCCACAACCUUAUCAACUACAAGGGCUUAGCAACGAAGGCCAAUUUAGGGUCACUCAACAAGUGCGCAUUGCCUUUUCUAUCGGUAAGUAUCAAGACGAAGUUGUGUGCGACGUAAUGCCUAUUCAAGCCUGCCAUUUGUUGCUAGGAGAACCAUGGCAACUGGAUCGAAAAGUCACUCACGAUGGUCGUACCAAUAGGUAUUCUUUCAAGCAUCAAGGAAAGAAACUUACCUUAGUGCCGCUCACUCCGGAACAAGUCCAUGAGGACCAAAUCAAACUAAGAAAUUCUGUUAAAACAAGUGAGGAAAAAGAAAAAGAGAAUGAAAAAGAGCAAAAAGAGAUUGAGAGUGAAAAGGAAUGUGAAACAGAAAAGAAAAUUGAAAAAGAAGUUGAAGAAAGAAGAGAAAAUGAGUUAGAAAAAGAAACAAAAGAAAAAGACGAGGAAAGGCUAGUGAGGAAUGUUUCCACUAACCAAGAUAUGAAUUUUUCUUGUGUUGCUACUUUUCAGGUUCCCGAAAGAUCGAAAGAUAACUUUCAACUUCAAUACCUCUCAAAUGAAAGACGCUUUCAUACGAUCAACUUAAGCAAAGAUGAAAUCACACUACAUGAUCCCGAAGGUAAGCGAGGUAAGGAAAUUUUAGAAACCGAGUCCAUUGCAGAUUUGAAAAUUAUUGAUAAAACUUUUGGUGACUUAGUUCUUAAAAUAUCCCCUCAUUUUGAUCCGAUUAAUUGUUACUCUUCGAUUGUGGUUGAUAAAGUCAUUACGAAAAGAAGCGUGAUUUGUUAUUCUCUUGAUUUACCUUGUGUAAAAUCCUCGAAUUUGUCCAAAUCUGUUUUCGAGAAUAAGGUAACGAAAUUUUCCAAAUUUGUUUUCAAUUUAUAUUCGUGCCUUAAACAGUUUAUGUGGUUGUACAUGAAGUUUGAGUUCCAUUUGACAAAGGUUAACUCAACAACGGAGAUUCGACUACACUAUGCCCCCGAUGAGCGAAAGUUUGUUUUAAAUGAAAAAGGUAAAAUCAACCCUUAUUCUUCUGCUUAUCGAGGUAAGAUGCUUGAAACCUUUGAAACACUUUUGUACUCCUUGGAUAGUGAUAAAGAUCGUGUUGAUGAACACUUAGAUCGAAACGUGCUUGACUGUCCUAUUUUAUUUAUUGAUGAUCUAUCUGUUUUGAUGAUUGAUAAAAAGAUUCUUGUUUUUGAUAAUGCAUGUGUGAGUGAAUCUAUAGACCGUCGAUUAAUGCAUGGUAUGAUUAUGCAACUCUGUGAACCAUGUGAAUCUUUUCAAAUACCUACUUGUGACGAUUAUGUUUACCAUUUGAUUUAUUACUCGCAAUUUAUUCAUGGUUUGUGGGAACAAUGUGAGACGACUGAAUGCCUUAAAACAUGUCCAUCUUUGUUUCAAAUAUUUGACGAGGCAGUGGUGAGUAAAUUAGAUUGUUUGCAUGGUAAUCUGAAUCUGUCCAUUCACAUACGUUAUACCUGUUCUGUUAUGCUUAUGAUUGGACUACAAGCUUGUUUCCGUUGCUAUUUACUAUCUCAUGGCUAUUCUUUUCAGUGGACUCAAUUGCCAUUAGUCCCGUUCGAUAGAGGAAAGUCGAGUUCAUUUGAUUUUUCAGAUUCGAGGACGAAUCUUUUUGAGGAAGGGGGGAAUGAUACGAGUCACAAAAGCCCAAAUUCUUGAAGGCGAGGCCCAAUAAGCAAAUUCCCAGCCCAAUCAAGAAAUCCAUCCAUACUUAGUUGAAAAUCAGGCCAAAUUGUCAAAGUGGCCCAAGUUGUAAAGUUUUAUUUUUAUUUUUAUUUAUUUAUUUAUUUAUUUACUUAGUUUAAAUUUUUAUGUCAAUAUUCAGUCCAAGAGUCUCAGAUAAAAUGACCUUUGACCGAAUUUCCAUAUUAAAAUAAUUAGGAGUUUUUUUUUAUUUUAGUUUUCUAAUUAGAUUAGGACUAGUUAUAAGGCCUAUUUAAAGGCAUGACUGUCCACCUUGUUAAACACUUAUCAUUAUUAUUAAAAUUUCAGAUUUGUUGAGAGCAGAAUUUUCUUUGAGUUUUCUCCAAGAUUUCUCUCUUGAGUUUUCUUUAGAAGUUGUUUUAACAAUCUUGUGAUUGUGGGAGCCAUCUUCAACCUUCUUCUUGCCAUUGAUAUUCUUUGGAGGGGAGAUUAGAGCCGUUUGAAGGGAGUUGUGAGAUCUUUCGAGAUUUCAAGGCUUCUUAGGACUUAUCUUUUAAUUUCUUACUGUCAAUUCUUUCUUUAUUUCUACUUGUGCUGAAUCAUUAUCUAAUCUAUUUUCUGUUCUUAUUGUGUUUUCAGCCUUUUUCUAUCUUAAGGAAUCAGCCCAAAAAUCCCCAAUUUCUAGGGUUUUUCCAUACUCUUUUUUGGGUGAAAUUAGAUUGUCGAAAUUUGGGGAAAACUAUCUUGGUGUUCAAUUGGGCAGAAUCACAAUCUCCUUGAGGGUUUCAAGAACCCUAACACUUAUUUCUAUUCUCAAUUUGAUUCUUUGCUGAUUUGGGGAUUUUAUUUUAGAUCUGAAAAUUCAAAAAUCUAAUCUUUUAAUUUUCUGUUUCGUUUCAGAUCUAAUUGUUUAGGGUUUUCGUAGGAGUUUCUCGUGACUUGGCAACUCGAUCUUGGUCCGCGCGCAACCCCGUAUCAGUAGGAGUUAAAUUGAGUGCCGAAUGACAUUUUCUUUGAGCAAGUUUUGAGUUUUUUUGGUGUUUCUUUUCUGUAUUAAUUGCUGCUUAUCGCUUUUGUUGUCCUCACUUCAUUGGAGCAAGUUUUGGGUUUGUUGUCCUUGCCUUAUAGCAGUUCUUAGUUUUGUUUUAUUGCUAUUAGGUUCUGGUUAAGUAACUCAAAACUCUAUGUGAAACAUCACUUUUGAGAACUUAUCAUUUGCUAAGACUGCUAAACCUGCUGGCUCUAUUAUGGUAGAGGCAUGAUCUUAUUGGAUAGGAGAUCUUUGGAAUAUGUAAAAGAAUAGGAUAAUUCUAGAGUGUAGAGCCGGAGGGCAUGUUUCUAAGGUUUUUUUCUCUUCAACUUGCAAGUUCGAUCCUUUCCCCCAGGUUUUGUUUUGUUCUUUUAGUAACUUUGCCUGUACUUUGACUACUUUUGUUGUUGGCUAUUAUAAAUUUUUGGAGAUUUGCUUGGUUUAUGCCAAGCUUUAGUGGUUUAAGAUAUUAAUAUUAUUUAAAGUAAUACACCAUUUUAGAUAUAUUUCUCCAUUUCAUAUUUUAGAAGUUCAUACUAAUCUGUUUUAAAAAUGUUUGUAUAAUUUAUCCCAAUAUAAAAAUUAAUAAUACAUUUUUGUAAAACAAUUUUAAACCUUUAAAUUUUUUGCUAUGUUAUGAACAUGAGAGCUGAGUCACGAGACCAUUGAUGGGUAAGUCGAAGUCAAUUGUCUUCCCUUUAUCUGUAUUCUUGUAAUGAUCUAUUGUGAUUGAUAGUUCAGCCAAUCAAAGGGAGACCAAAACCUUAAGAUUCAAUAGAGAGAGACCCAGACACCUUAGGGUUUUUUUGAUAGAAAUUCUGCUUAUUAUUCCAUACGCCUCUUCAGAUAAGGACCAAUCUUAUUACAUACAUAGGAAAACCUAUUCUAAAAAGGAAAUUAAUUAAUUGAAAUAAAUUCACAAUCAAGAAACCUAAGGGAACACAUAAAAUUGCAACCCAAGACUUGAUUAGAGAAGCGAAAUUAUGGCCUUUCCUAACAUAGGUUCAACCCAUAACAUUACCCCCUCUUGCCAUGUGAGCUUAUCCUUAAGUUUGAAGUCAAGAUAACUUGACAAUAUAAAUCAACCUAGUUCAGUCUCAAUUUUAGUUUUUGGUGCUUCAUGAGUCAAAUAAGCUACUUUCAACCAAAAGGGGUAGGAAAAUUUACUGAAUUAGCUUUAAUAGUUCCCCCUAAUAUAUUGCUGCCAUCAUUACCUUGCCAAGUUCCUCUAUGGUUAUUUCUGACAUGUAGUAUUUGCUGCUUCUAUUCAAAGGCUUUAGUGAGGCUUGUAGUUAUGGCUAAAUUAGGGGGCUCGUGCAUUUGAACAUCCAAGCGAAUGGAAUCAUUUGGUCCAGCCAUGAAAAACCCAUCAUGUCAGUUUACUUGAAUGUAUUGACUAGCUCUUGCUAAUUUUUGUUGAUAUUGUUGCUGAUAAAGCUCUAAAGUUCCUGUCUAUUUCAAACUAACCAGAUCUCCCAAGGAGUUGCCGCCCAUCAGAGCACCAAAACUAAAGGAGCCAUAAUUAUAGGAUUCUUACUGGUUCAUCACAUGUCCCUCCAAUUUGAUUUAAUAAUACCAAAGUGGUGCCUCACCCAGAAUGUGGAAGGCUGCCAAACUUACCUUGUUUGCCUCAUUGGCGUGUUGGUUUUGAAAAAUUAUUCACAUCAAUGUAGCCAAAUCAAAGGAUCCUUUGAUCCAUCAAAAGUUUGAAAAUCUACUUUUGUGUACUUGGGAAUAAUUCCAAUUGAUGGAACCCUCUGCUCCCCAAGUGGUGGUGGCGCCAUGCCUCCUACAGUAGUUGGUGGGAAAUGCAUCGGUCUAGUUGGAUUGUUUUACUGCCUACAUCACCAUCCCUAGUUUUUUUGCCCAAGUAAAAAAUUAGGGUUUUGAGUUGUUCCUAGAUAUGUCGAGUUAUUUGUUGAAGGUAGAUGUUUAUACGAGUUUUUAGAUUGAUGAACUUAGCCUCCACCACAGGUUUCAAAACAAUUCUCUCUUAUAACAAUGCUCAUACAUCAUUGCCAAUGUGAUAUGCUUUGAUGCCAAAUUGUUAUGGACAUGAGAAUAGGAUUUGAGUCAUAGGGCGAUUAAUAGGGAAGUUGAAGUCAAUUGUGUUAUUAUUGUGAUUGACAUUUCAGCUCAUCAAAGGAACACAGAAACCUUAGGACCGGUAAAGAGAGACUUGAAUCUCUUUAGUUUUAUUCAUAGAAAUUUUGUUUAGGGUUUAUUAUUCUAUACAUCCCUUUAAACGAGGACCAGUUUUAUUACAUAAAUAAGAAAUUUAUUCUAAGAAGAAAUAAAUAAAUUGAUAUAAAAUCACAAUCAAGAAACUUAGGAAAGAAUUAAAAUUGCAACCUAGUCCUUAAUUAGAGAAUCAAAAUUUAUGCCCUUCCUAACAUAGGUUUGGCCCAUAACAUGCUAAUUAUAUUUUGUAUUACUAGUACUUUAAACUAUUUAAUUCUGUCAUGUAACUGAUAGUUUUUCCCAGCCUCUUUUUCACACAAUAAAGCUCAAUCAAUAUGUCUUUGCAUGUAUGUUUGUAUCUAUCAUUUUGGUUCCAAACUUUAACUAGUUAAUGCUGGUUAGAUUAGGCUUCCUUUGGUGUGUGGCUAAUAGCUUUUACUUGGAUAGUUUGCACGCUAUGCCUUGUUUAGCAUUGCUUCUCAAACCAAUCUUUCAAGCCAAACGAACUUUUUGAGUCAUUAAUAAUGCUAAAUAGUCAGCUUUUCAAACCUCACCAAAAAGUUGAAAAUUAUAGCUUUUGGCUUUUCGAAAGCUAGUUUGGGUGCCAAAAUAUAAUUUUGCAGGUUUACAAUAUUCAUUGCCUAAAAAGUAUUUAAAAUUUAUAUUUUAUAUAUUAUACUUACAAUGAAUUAUUAUAAAUUAUUUUUGUUAUACUUUCUAUUAUGAGCUAAGUUGAAUAUUUGUUCAUACCAAAAUAAUUUUAACAUGACAUUGUGGUAAUAAUAAUAAAGACAAGGGAAAGAAUGAUACUUUGCAUUUGAGUCAAUUAUUCAUUACUUAUGAAAUUUUUAUUGAUUUAUAAGAGUUAUGCUUAUAUGUUAUAUGGUUUAUACAUUAGAAAAUUUAUUAACAAUUAAUAUUAAUUGCUUAAAUGUAUUAAUUACUUAAAUGUAUUAAUUAUUGAUAUUUCAUACAUCAUAAUAUUAACAAUUUUGAAUACCAUUUAAAUUAACUUAUUUUUUACUUUACAACAUCAUGUCUAAAAUGAAUAUUUUUACUUUUUACUUCUUUAUAGCAAUGCCGAACAUUUGAAAUCGUGUAUCACACUUUUCAAAAGCUAAGUCAUUAUUCAUAUGUGGAAUCAAAAUCUUGAAAUCAUUUAACCCUCCCCAAUCAAGAAAUAGAAGUCAUGGGUCAUUGAUAUUAUUGCUUGUUCUAAAAUUCCAAGCAAAAAUCUCAAAAUGUACUCCUUAUUUGAUUGAGGAAAAAAUAUAAGGAAAAUAACAAUUUUGUGGGGUAGAGAUGAACACUACGAUAAUGAGAUUGAAAUGAUCUAAGUAAUUCAUCAUAAGAAGUGUUCUUGGUGACAAAAUAUAAUAAAUGCUUUAAAAAUGUAAGUGACUAAUUUACAACUUCAAAUCAUUUAAUCUAUAAAAGAUAUAAAUAUCAAGCUGUUAAGUUUCAACAUGCACGACCUAUGCUGAAUUUUCCUCUUCAGGCCCUUUGGUUAGUCCUACCUCAAAUAGAGCCAAAACACAUUUAAUGUCAAUAUGUUGGAAAACUUACCUUACUGCUUUAAGAGUUCAGUCCUAAUUCAUGUUUUCAGGUGCAUUGAGCCUUUGUGAGAGGGUGAUGUGCAUAUUAUUAAUGUCUGUUUUUUUUUAUGUGCAUAUUAUUAAUGUCUGUUUUUCUUUCUUUUGUUAAUUAAUGUAAUGAUAUGAGUUCAUUUCUCUGUUUUUUCUCCUUUUAGCUUAUUUCUUGUUUGCUUUCUUCCUUUUCCUUUAUUAUUGUGCUUGAUUAUGUUUCUUGAUGAAUAACUAGGCUUUGGUUGCAUGAAGACUUAAUGUUCCAAAUGCUAUUUUGAGGUGUAUGUUAGAUAUGUCCAAUAUGCAUCUAAGUUCUAGUUUGCUGUUGUUAUACUUGCAUUUUUACAAUUCAAAGUCAGGUUAUUUUGAUAGUCAAUCAUUGUUCUAUGGCAUUUCUUUCCUACAUGUUACAUCCCUCCUUUUCCGUUGGAUCAACAUUUGAAUAUAACUAAGCUUAAUUGCAAGGCACCUGUCUAAGUUCUAUUUUGCUCUUAUUAUAUUUGCAUUUAUUUUACAAUUGGAAGUCAGGUUAUUUUGAUGGUCCAUAAUUGUUUUAUAGUGUUUCUUCUCAACAUGUUGCAACCCUCCUCUUUUUUCCGGGCUUGGGACCGGCUGUAAUUGCAGCUAUAAGCAUCUUGUGCUACCACAGGCAGAGUUAUUGCAACAUAUGCAUAUAGUUUCUUGUUAAAUACACUGUUUCCUUGCUCUGUGAGCUAUAUUUUAUGACAUUUGGGUUGUGAACCUUCUUGGGAUGCUUGCAUGCUGUCCAAUUUAUUGUAGUGUCCUGAGACUUUCUGAAAGUGAAUGUAGCCUGAAGUUAAGUUACUUUUACGGCCCAAAGUCUCAAUUGUAACUGUAUAUACUGGUUAUGUUAAUCCAAGCUCUUUUUUUUUUUUUUUUUUAUUGGGGGGGGGGGAGUGACUGUCCCAGGUCUUAAGCCAUGUAGGUUAUAUUUGUGCAUCUUCUAGUUAGGCAGUCAACUAGAAACACGAAUUGUAACUGCAUGUGCUGGUUAUGUCAGUCAAAGCUAUUCUCGGGGGUGGGUGGACUGUCCUAGGUCUUAAAGCCAUGUAGGCUAUACUUGUGAAUUUUCUAUUGAGCAGUAAACUAGAAACACGAUCCGAUGGUUUUAACAUUUUGAAAUUGUACUGCCAUCAUAUGUAUAUGCUAUGUUUAAGUCUCUCAAUAUUGGUUUGUAUUAACUAAUCGUGUUAUAUAUUAAAUACCAAAGAAACUCGUUUUUACCUUCUGUUCAUAUAGUAUUGUAAUGUAUUAUAAGGCGGCUAUUUUCUUUAGUUACCUUGAACUGGUAUUCUAAAACUUUUAUAUUAUUAUUCUUUUGGUAUUGCAGGUCAUGUUAUCAGCUUUCUGUCUACAAUGUAAUGAAUGAGAAAACGUAGGACUCUAUAAGAAGGUAAACCUAAUAAAAAAAAAUGAAUUACAUAAGAAGGUAUAAAUAUAAUUGAAAAUUGAGUUGUAGUAAAACUUGAAUGAAUUUACUCUUUUAAGGAUCUUGUUGGUGAUGCUUCCAUAUUUCGAAUUUUUUUGUAGCUUCACCAAUCUAAAUAUUAACAUUUUUCUGAACCACCGUGUUGCUGUCAUAGAAGUUUCGAAAGAUGAAGCUUUUUCAUUUCAAAUUAACAAAAACAAGUGUGUAAUUACGAUAUUCAUUUCAGUCAUCUUUGAAACUUCAAAAAAGUUAAUGCUGGUUUCUCCUUCUUAUAUAUAUAUAUUUAUUUAUUAGCUUAAAUUAUCUUUACAUAACUAGAUGGUUUUCUUGAUCAUCACACACAUGCUAAAGUUCAUUUGUUUAAACAUUUCAAACCAAUGUUUGCUGAAUGAUUGGUGGUUUUAACAUACCACAUCUUACUAUGAGAAGCAUAACUUUGGAACCAUGAGAUAUUUGUUGAUAGAAGUUGAGUGACAUCCAAUCCCAUUUCUGUACAUCUGCUUUUGCUACUGCAAUUGCAGUCUGCUGCAGUUACCAUGAAAAAAAGGUGUACAUCAAAUUGGGGCAAAGAAAUCUGCAUUAAAUCAAAAUCUAACAUAUAGAGUGGGAUGUACCCCAAGUUUGUAGCUCUUGUUGGUGUUUCAUAGCUUUGUUGCUGUGGCUGGCACAGCUGGAGACAAACUGGAACUUGUGAAUCCUCUCCAAUGCCUAAACCAUUUGUAAGAAGGGAGUCUUUGUUUGCACCAUCGACAUCCCUUGUUCCAUAAACCUGGAUGUGUUAAACUUUGAUUUUGAGGUUGGUUUUAGAAAUUCUUAUAACAGGCAAAGGUUUAAUGGUUGAAUCUUUUUAAUGUUUCUAGUAUAUUGGGAUUGUUAUGAUCCAUUAAUACCUUCUUAUAUAAUUCAUUGUUUUCUUGACGAAUUAG
rnacentral:lncRNA from 1 species